GACGAACGCUGGCGGCGUGCUUAACACAUGCAAGUCGUACGGUAAGGCCCUUUCGGGGGUACACGAGUGGCGAACGGGUGAGUAACACGUGAGUAACCUGCCCACAACUUUGGGAUAACGCUAGGAAACUGGUGCUAAUACUGGAUAUGUGCUCCUGCUGCAUGGUGGGGGUUGGAAAGCUCCGGCGGUGGUGGAUGGACUCGCGGCCUAUCAGCUUGUUGGUGGGGUAGUGGCCUACCAAGGCGGCGACGGGUAGCCGGCCUGAGAGGGUGACCGGCCACAUUGGGACUGAGAUACGGCCCAGACUCCUACGGGAGGCAGCAGUGGGGAAUAUUGCACAAUGGGCGCAAGCCUGAUGCAGCAACGCCGCGUGCGGGAUGACGGCCUUCGGGUUGUAAACCGCGUUCAGCAGGGACGAAGCUUUUUGUGACGGUACCUGCAGAAGAAGCACCGGCUAACUACGUG
rnacentral:rRNA from 1 species